rnacentral:lncRNA from 1 species
AUGGACGAGUCCUGCGAAGUCUACAACCACCUGUACUCAGCGCUGCUCGGGUUCUACCAGCCUGAGUCUCUGGGGGACAGUGACAGCACUGAUGUGGUCCCUGCCUUCGAUCCUGAGCCAGUCAUCGCCCACUGCUUCAAGCAGUUCAAGCAGGACUUCCGCCUGCCGCAGAGCCGCCGGAGGGUCAUCAUUGUGCCUGCCCAGCAAGGACAGGCACCUGUGGACCCCACGCCCAGGCCCCCGCCGUCCCUACCACCUGUCUCCAGCCUCAGCAGCCUGGAUGGUGGAGGAGAGGGUGGGGACAUCCCCGGGCCACUGGAGGACAGGGCGGCCUGGCUUCACCAGAGGGCAAGGCUGCGGAAGGAGCUGGAAGCCCUGGGCGACGUGACGCAGUGGCUGAAGAACAAGCCCAGCAUCUCGCCCUUGGAGGCCAAGGUCCUGCGCAUGCUCCACAAGGAGCGUGAGGCCCAGCUCACGGGGCAGGUGACGGCCACCGUGGCCACCAAGAAAGGAACCCCUCAGCGAGUGGUGCCCCAGCUGCGGCUGCCCAAGCCCCAGGCCCUGUCAGCCCUGUACAGCUACCUGCGUAGCCGCAAGAUCCAGGUGCUGGAGCUGUUCGCCAAGGGCCAGGGCAUGCAGCAGAGAGUCUCCCGGGAGGAGUUCCUCUCGGCACUCAGGACGGUCGGAGUCCCCCUACAGCAGCAGGAGAUGGAGGACGUGGUGAUCUACCUGAGCUCCCUCGGGAAGCAGCACGAGAUCACCAUAGAGACCCUGGCCAGCACCUACAAGCAGUGGUCUGUGGCCCAGCAGAGGAGCAUACUGCCCACCACCUGCAAGUGUGCGUCCCCUUGCCUCCCUGGCCUGCACAAGCCCAGCGUGUGGUCUGAGGCCUCCUUUAUGGAUAAAGAGCUAGCGAAUGUUUCCUGCUCAGAGAUGGAAUCGGCACACUUUACAGCCUACUGGUUUGGUGUCCUCCUGGCGGGGCUAUACGAACAAAGCUGCUGUGGACAGUUGUUCAGGUUGUCCACAGCUUGAGUCCCAUUUGCAAGCCGUGUGCUUGUGGGGCUUCACCUGCCGGGAUCCAGCACAGUGGCAGGUUAGAAACGGGCUCCCAAGUGCUCCCAGCGUGAAGCGCCAACACAGGGCGCACCCCCUUCCUUUCUAUUUUAUUGCCCUUGUGGUAAAACAUGCCCACAACCGCCACCACUCUAGCUCUGUCCCCAGCCCACGCACAUUUGCUUUUCUAGGUGAAAUGCACGCUGUUCUGCCCACAUCUGCCAGGCUAGAAGGAACUGAACCUCAGACAUGUUGGGGGCCCUUGCCCUCCCUGAGGGGCUCCUUGUGCCCAAGGGCUCAUUCACAGAUGAGGGGGAGACAGGACUCUGCAGCUCAUGGUCCCCAGCAGGAACUCUGUGCAGACCCUGGAGUGGCCUCUGAGGAGAGGAAAGCAGCACCCUUACCCCAUUUCCCAGAAGUUUUUUUUUUUUUUUUUUUUUUUU